rnacentral:rRNA from 1 species
UACGUAGGGUGCAAGCGUUAAUCGGAAUUACUGGGCGUAAAGCGUGCGCAGGCGGUUUUGUAAGUCAGAUGUGAAAAUCCCCCGGGCUUAACCUGGGAACUGCGUUUGAAACUACAAGGCUAGAGUGUGGCAGAGGGGGGUGGAAUUCCACGUGUAGCAGUGAAAUGCGUAGAGAUGUGGAGGAACACCGAUGGCGAAGGCAGCCCCCUGGGUUAACACUGACGCUCAGGCACGAAAGCGUGGGGAGCAAACAGG